GGGGGUGGGGGCGCGGGGAGCCCACGUGCCCUCCGGCUUGGCCGCACCUCCCUGCGUGCAGCAGGCUCCGCGGCGGCUCUUCGCUUCCCUGGGAUUGCUGCUGCGGCCCCGAAGGAGACACGAAGGUGGCGGGAGCGAGGCGGCGUCCCGGCGUCGCUCCGUCUCCCUGCCGCCCUGGGCGACGCUGUGACCGCUGAAGGAUGUCAGGAGCCGAGCCAGCGAGGACCUGACGCGCAGCGCUGAGCUGGCGCAGCUUUCUGGGGCCGGGGGAGCCUCAGUGAGUGCGAAGCCCGCGCCCAGCGUGUCCUCCCGGCGCCGUGGAUUCUCGGCUUCCCCAGGAGACAGCCGAAGGCCUGCGGACGACCCCCAACCCACUCUCAAACCCCUGGAUAGGCGAUGGCAGCAAGAUAUUCUGGACUUAACCCCGAGCUAGGUUGGAGUAUGAAGAUUGGCAUAUUGUUGGGUCAGACAGCCCCACGUGAAACCCACCUACUGAGAUUGCAGCCCGGAAAGCGGAACUGCACUUUUUACCCCCACCCCUGGGAGGGGGUUCGCUGUGAAUUCCAUCAGCUUGUAUGAAGUAGAGAACCUUCAGAGGCGGGGAUAUUUUGCCCUAAAUUCGAAUUAAGAGCUAAAGGAAAGAGUAUACUCAGGCAGCUUGUACUGUGUUAUUUACAAUGGAAUUUGGAAGGAUGUCUGAAUUGAGAUGUAGUGGGAAGAGCCAAGGACUGAGAAUUGGCCAAUUUGGGUUCCUUAUACCCAGUCCUAAAGCCUGAUAGCCUUGAGGUCUUGAGCCGUCAAGAAAUGUCCUAGAAAUUUAGUUCCCUGUGUGAGGUGAGGGAGCAUCCUCCUGCUCUGCCUUUCUGGGGAGUUGAAAGAUAAAUAGACUGGAGGGAGAGAGAGUAUUUGAAAGUAUGAAGUGUGGUCUCUACAAGUGAGGGCAUCACCACAUUCUGCCCACAUCCCUCUCCUCCAGGCUUCCAACACAACCUUGUCUUGAGAAAGGUUAAAGGCAAUGACUUCUUGGUAACCCUGGGGUUUUCAUAAUUACCUAAGUGUGAGAGAGCAUGUUUCUCCAUGGCUUCAAGUUCAAGUAUGAAAAUACUUCCACCUGAAACUGCUCAUCACUGUGUGACAUCAGAAGACAGGUUUUCCUCAACUUCCUUAGGAACUGUACCAAGUAGGUGAGAUGUUAGGAUCCUUGCUGAAAAUUGAGGGUCACGGACCCUGAUGUUUAAAUAUGAUUAGAUAUAAUCUUCAUGUAACAAUUAAACUCUGAACAUGUUGGCUUUUUGAGCUCUUGUUUUCUGACACAGGGAAAAUUCUAUCAGAGGCAAGGAGAAACAUUCAAGGGUAAGCAUUUUCAUUAGUCUUUAGGAGAAGAUAAGAGAAGAGCUAAGAAUGAACACAUUGCUUGCAGACACACCCUACAACCCCCUACGCCCUACCCCACCCCAAAAUUGGAAGAUGCUCAGAUAGUAGUCCUGACAAAUUUGAAUAGUUUCCUUUGUUACUAAAUCUAGAUUAAUUUUUCUAAAUGGAAAGAAGAAAUUCUCAUGGUUGGUUGUGUUAUCAUUAAAAUUUAAGCUUUUCUUCCUAAGUAUGUGUGUUCUGCCUUCCAGAGAUAAUAAAUUUAAGCAAUCCUAGUGCCUUUAA